CAACGUAGGAUGUUUUUGUGCGCUGAUCAACACCUGCCAAUGGGCGAGUAGCGGCCUCUGGCACACCGGCCGGGCAUCGAUUCUUAAGCGACCGGUUCCUCCCCUCGUGGCAGUCUGGGCUCGAUCUCGGCCGAGUUCGGAAUGAAGGCUGCUCACACUGAGAUGUUUCAGAGGCGACAGGGGCGAGGGGCACUUGCCAGUGCCUGCCCCUGGUAAGAAGCUACGGCUCUGUACCAGGGGCAGGUACCCAACCUACCGUCCCCGGACUGACAUAUGGCAACUCGACCCCUGAACGGAUCACGGACUGUCCCUGGCGACUAACCCCUGCCAGGCCCCCUUUCCCUUCCACCUCCAGGAGCAAACGUCAGCCGAACAUCUUUCCUGUCAGCUCUGCAAGCAUUCCUUGGCCUUCUGAUGCAGCUGCUCCUGUCUAGGCGCGGCCAGAAGAAGGGAAUCACCUCUUUCGUCUUAAAAAUUGCAGAGAUUAGAUACUUCUUGUAGUCAUUACGUACGAUUUGUGAUUCGAUGAAUUGACAAACUCACCGAUAUCAAACUGUAUUCUAAUCUGUUUAUGUACUCUUAGCGACCAAAAAAGAUACUUGCAUUGUUUCCAUACGAAUACAAUUACGUUGUUCAUUCUCUCUCGGUCAGCGAUGUUUCUGGACGGCGUGUCAUUCCCUGUGUUAAUGUAUUGGUGAAGUUCCUUGUGAUCGUGUAGACUUUCCUCAUUGGACGUAGCACUGUGUUGUAUUCAAGGUACAAUAUGUUGUGCUGCUGUGUGUAUGAGGUUAUCCAAAGUUAUUUCUAUCAUUGUUGAAUAAAUUAUAUUUUCGUUAA